AAAAAGAAAGAAGGAAGAAACAAACCAUCGAAAACGAAAGAUCAGGCUGCUCUGAAGGAUUUGCCUUUUUUUCAUUUUCGUCUUUCCUCCCCUCCCCUUCCCUCCUCUGU
rnacentral:ribozyme from 1 species